GCAUCUCGCUUACACCGAGAAUAUGUCUGUGAGACCCUGAUCGUUUUGA
rnacentral:tRNA from 1 species